rnacentral:rRNA from 1 species
GAUGAACGCUGGCGGCGUGCCUAAUACAUGCAAGUCGAGCGAACAGACGAGGAGCUUGCUCCUCUGACGUUAGCGGCGGACGGGUGAGUAACACGUGGAUAACCUACCUAUAAGACUGGGAUAACUUCGGGAAACCGGAGCUAAUACCGGAUAAUAUAUUGAACCGCAUGGUUCAAUAGUGAAAGACGGUUUUGCUGUCACUUAUAGAUGGAUCCGCGCCGCAUUAGCUAGUUGGUAAGGUAACGGCUUACCAAGGCAACGAUGCGUAGCCGACCUGAGAGAGUGAUCGGCCACACUGGAACUGAGACACGGUCCAGACUCCUACGGGAGGCAGCAGUAGGGAAUCUUCCGCAAUGGGCGAAAGCUUGACGGAGCAACGCCGCGUGAGUGAUGAAGGUCUUCGGAUCGUAAAACUCUGCUAUUAGGGAAGAACAAAUGUGUAAGUAACUAUGCACGUCUUGACGGUACCUAAUCAGAAAGCCACGGCUAACUACGUG